CUUGUGCUUGUCAGCUUGUCGUCUGAUUCGGAAGAUGUGCAAUGUAGAGCUCAGCUGAUGCAGGAUUUUUGCUGCCUGGUGCGUCUUUCUCUGUAAGCCAGUGUUACAGCUAAAAAUACCACCUGCUGUGAUUCUGCUCACCCUGCUGCUCCACUGUGUGUGUGUGCGCGUUAACUGCUGUUAUCUAAAUUUGUUUUGUCAGCUGAGGCUAAUUUUCAUGUGCAUGUGAAUGAUAACCACAAGCAAUGUUUUGUUUAGUAAUGUUUAUUGCAGGCACGCAUGUGGUUAGUGUAAUUUGUUGUAGUGUACGGAUCCCCUGGAAACAUGGUGUAAUGCACCGGAAGACUCUCACAGAUGCAAACACUGAUGCCACAAAUUCCUGUUCCUGUUCCUUGUCAUUGAUCUGGCUCAAUCCUGGUGUUCCUGCAGUUGGUCUAGUCUCUGCUCCACUUCUCCAUACGUGACGUCACAGUCCAGAUCAUCAUCUUCAGUGCCG